CCUACGGGAGGCUGCAGUGAGGAAUAUUGGUCAAUGGACGAGAGUCUGAACCAGCCAAGCAGCGUGAAGGAUGACUGCCCUAUGGGUUGUAAACUUCUUUUAUAUGGGAAUAAAAUGUUCCACGUGUGGGAUUUUGUAUGUAUCAUAUGAUUAAGGAUCGGCUAACUCCGUGCCAGCAGCCGCGGUAAUACGGAGGAUCCGAGCGUUAUCCGGAUUUAUUGGGUUUAAAGGGAGCGUAGGUGGAUUGUUAAGUCAGUUGUGAAAGUUUGCGGCUCAACCGUAAAAUUGCAGUUGAAACUGGCAGUCUUGAGUACAGUAGAGGUGGGCGGAAUUCGUGGUGUAGCGGUGAAAUGCUUAGAUAUCACGAAGAACUCCGAUUGCGAAGGCAGUUCACUGGACUGCAACUGACACUGAGGCUCGAAAGUGUGGGUAUCAAACAGGAUUAGAUACCCCUGUAGUC
rnacentral:rRNA from 1 species